rnacentral:lncRNA from 1 species
UGGAUAUCAAUUAAUCAAAACAGUAGCGCUUCAAAAGUUUUUAGAAAAUUUAUCUGGGAUGAGGGGAAACCAAGAGUAAAACUGGAGGUUUUACAAAAUAAUAAAGAACGGGGGUGUUUUUCGUUACCAGGUUUGGAGUACUAUUAUUACGCAGACCAGAUUAAGCCAAUAUUGAGCUGAUGCAAGAGGAUAACAGAUCAAAGUGGAAAUGUAUGGAAACUGGCUCACUUGAGGCAAUCAGUACAUUAAUAUUUUGUGGAAGAAAGAAAAAGGAAGAAUAGACUGUUUCCCGAUACUGGGCAUUCGGCGAGGC